ensembl:lncRNA
CUAGAAUUGAGAGACUGUACCUUUAAUAGGGAAUUUCUAAUUAUGCUGUGUAUCUUGCUGUGAGGGGGAGGGGUUUCCUCCUUCUGCAUCUCUCAGGGUUUUAUGUAAAAGACCUUCAAUGCUUAAAUAUCUCUCAUACGGACACAAAACUCAUUUUAAACCCUUAAUCAGAGAGUCUAAUGCUGUACUGUAACACAACAACACUGCAUUUGCCCAAAUGGUGCAUAAUGAUAGCAAAACUGUAGGUUUAACAGCAAAUGUUAACAGUGUUUACAAAUGUAUAGAAGCAAGAAUAAAUGUUCACAUUCGCAUUUGCGUGUUCAUGUUGUGUGUGUGGGUAUAAGCGGUCGAGCAGGGGGAGUGGAUGCUUGUCAGAGCAUAAUGUGACUGCUGCAGAGCAGUGGAUGAAAAGUGUUAAUUAUGCCGCUUGGCACAGUGCCAAACCCAUACCAGAUUUUUCCAGUUUUCAAUAUGCAAAUCAAGCGCUGAACUAUGUAUUGUUUUUGUGGUUUACCAGUUCUUUGUGUUUUCAGUCAAACAGAUUGUGCACAUGCGUAAAGUCAGAAAAAUGAAAUAUUUGUUUUUUUUUUUUCCUUUCUGCAAACACAAAAGCUAUAGAAUAAUGCGCUGCACUGCUAAGAAAAAAAUCCAGUCUAAAUUCAUACAAAAAUAAAAUCGAAUAAUUCAAAUAUUAAAAAAAUCCUUAGCACAUUUGGAUUACUAUAGCUCUCUCUGUUAGCAGUCCAACAUAAUGUGCUUUAUGGAGUAGCAUAUGUGGAUUUUAGGCAUGACUGUGAUUAUAUUUUUUCAUCGACUGAAAAGGGCAAUUCCUUGAAAUGUCUCCCAAGGUGUCUGGCACAAUAAUCACUUCAACACAAGGUCAUUUGCAUCUGUGUGUAUGAUGAAAAAUGUGUUUUCGUGUCUGUGUGCAAGAAAGUCAAUCAGUUUCAGAGUGUGUGUGUUUUUUUUUUACACAGCUUCUCCUUACACGUAUGCAAGCAUCAAUAGCAAUACCACAAAUGAUGAUUUGUGAUAAAUAAGGAGCAAAUUGUCAGCUGUAGUCUCUUUGUUGGUAAACAGUUUGAUAGUGCCCACAUUAUUAUUCCAGACCCCUCUCCUCUUCUACAAUGGCAGCAUUGUAAGGCGAGUACUUGACGUGGGUCCGCAGUCCCCCCUGUUUCCCACCAUUGUCUGUACGGAUGGAGUGCCAGAGACAGUGGAGGGUAAUAAGCUGAGAAAGAUGCUCAGGCCCAGACAGAGCCAGAUGCCUAAAUUAGCACCAAAACCCUAAGAGACUAUCCUCAGGGAACGGCUGAGGAUGGGGCUUUAUUUCUCAGGCUGCUUCGAGAGUGUGUUAGCAGCACUAUAUGCUUGUGCGGUCAGGAAUUGCAUGAGCAUUUGCACAAUCAUGUGUGCUCACGCAAUAGAUGCACUCUUUUCUGCAGUGCCUGCUAGAGUAUCAAGUUGUUAUCGAGUUUUAAAUCGUUAAAGGCUCCUGGCGAUGAAACUCUGAAAAAUUCCCAUCAUUGUCAUCAGCUGCUGGAGAAACCGUGGCCAUGCUGCUAUGUUUGACUCAAAUGGUCAAUCACAUCACCUCAGGAAUCCAGCGUCCAGCAUUUCUUCCAGAUGGUUCGCUGUGAAAAUUUAACAAGCAGAUGAUUUCGAAUGUGCACUAAUUGUCUUAAAACCUUGCAGACAAUCAGUAAUACUGGAUGGGUGUGUGGAUUUGGGCUGUUCGCCCAGUUAAAUCUUAGAUGUUAGAAAAUGUGUUGUACAAUCUUAUCAGUGCUGUGUAAACUGAAGAGCAUAAUGUGCCUUAAUGUGUGAAAAGUUUACAAUGAAAGUAGUUGUUAUUGAAACAUGUCAGUGCAAUCCCGAUUUUAAAUAUUAGUAUUUUCAAUGACCUUUCAUGUUAGUCAUCCAUGUUUCAUGUUAUUAUAUUAUAAAAUGUGCCUGUUUCAGUUGAUUUACAGGAAAUUGGUUAAUCCAGAUAUUUUGUAUGGCUACUGUAUGUAUGGUUUAAUACAAGAAUUAUGCUCAGUUUCUCUCUGGAUUAUCAUUUGUCUGAUUAUGUGAUAUGUGAAACAAAUUUAUUAAGCUGCACAAAUAAACAACAUUAAAGCACUGAGUAAAUGAUUGUUGGAUUGCUGAAAAAGCCAUUUUAAGUUAUACUCUGUAUAGAAAUGUACUGUAAUGGGAGGUGGACAUCAACACAGCUUCACAUGUAGUGGCCACAGGCUAAUUUGUAACCACCUACUUGAAGACAGCUUGACAGCUCAUAGUUCUGGUGCUCCUGUCAGCACCUUGGACAGCACAUAAUAAGCAAGUGCAGAAAAUAACUAGCAGUGAAUCACCUCUCUUAUUCAUGCAGAAGUCACAAAAAAAAAUAAUAAUAAUAAAACCUAUGUGCUGGCCUGGUGUGAGUAAGCGCAGUGUGCUUAAGGUGACGUGUUUGUGUUUUUAAUCUGUGGGAAGGGGAUCAAACAAUUUUGUAUAAUUCUGUCAGUGGGAUUUGUUUGACUGGCAAACACUCAAACACUGCAUGUCAAUGAUUGUUUUCAUUUACUGAGAUUAUAUCUGAAGCAUAGUCUACAUAAAAC